rnacentral:pre_miRNA from 9 species
UCUCGAUAGCGUAAAAGUUAACUCAAAUGUGUAUGUAGUUGGAACGUAUGCCUACGUUUGCCGCUAGGGGCGCUGUUUCAACGGCAUACCAAUUGGAGUUAGCUUUUACGCUAUCUA